rnacentral:rRNA from 1 species
GUGAGGAAUAUUGGUCAAUGGGUGGGAGCCUGAACCAGCCAAGUCGCGUGAAGGAAGAAGGAUCUAUGGUUCGUAAACUUCUUUUGCAGGGGAAUAAAGUGCAGGACGUGUCCUGUUUUGUAUGUACCCUGAGAAUAAGGAUCGGCUAACUCCGUGCCAGCAGCCGCGGUAAUACGGAGGAUCCGAGCGUUAUCCGGAUUUAUUGGGUUUAAAGGGUGCGUAGGUAGUUUGAUAAGUCAGCGGUGAAAGUUUGCAGCUUAACUGUAAAAAUGCCGUUGAAACUGUCGGACUUGAGUGUAAAUGAGGUAGGCGGAAUGCGUGGUGUAGCGGUGAAAUGCAUAGAUAUCACGCAGAACUCCGAUUGCGAAGGCAGCUUACUAAGCUACAACUGACACUGAAGCACGAAAGCGUGGGGAUCAAACAGGAUUAGAAACCCGAGUAGUCC